rnacentral:rRNA from 1 species
AUACGGAGGAUGCGAGCGUUAUCCGGAUUCAUUGGGUUUAAAGGGUGCGCAGGCGGCCCGUGCAAGUCGGCGGUGAAAUCCCGGGGCCCAACCCCGGAAGUGCCGUCGAUACUGUCGGGCUGGAAUGCGGUCGAGGCGGGCGGGACGGGGCGUGGAGCGGGGGAAAUCGUAGAUAUGCCACAGAAAGCCGAUAGCGGAGGCAGCUCGCCAGGCCUGCAUUGACGCUCGGGCACGAAAGCGUGGGGAUCAAACAGGAUUAGAUACCCUGGUAGUCCACGCCGUAAACGGUGGACGCUCGUCGUCGGCGACAGACAGUCGGCGGCCAAGCGAAAGUGAUAAGCGUCCCACCUGGGGAGUACGGUCGCAAGGCUGAAACUCAAAUGAAUUGACGGGG